UCUUGGUCAUUUAGAGGAAGUAAAAGUCGUAACAAGGUUUCCGUAGGUGAACCUGCGGAAGGAUCAUUACCGAGUGAGGGCCCUCUGGGUCCAACCUCCCACCCGUGUUUAUUUUACCUUGUUGCUUCGGCGGGCCCGCCUUAACUGGCCGCCGGGGGGCUUACGCCCCCGGGCCCGCGCCCGCCGAAGACACCCUCGAACUCUGUCUGAAGAUUGUAGUCUGAGUGAAAAUAUAAAUUAUUUAAAACUUUCAACAACGGAUCUCUUGGUUCCGGCAUCGAUGAAGAACGCAGCGAAAUGCGAUACGUAAUGUGAAUUGCAAAUUCAGUGAAUCAUCGAGUCUUUGAACGCACAUUGCGCCCCCUGGUAUUCCGGGGGGCAUGCCUGUCCGAGCGUCAUUUCUGCCCUCAAGCACGGCUUGUGUGUUGGGCCCCGUCCUCCGAUCCCGGGGGACGGGCCCGAAAGGCAGCGGCGGCACCGCGUCCGGUCCUCGAGCGUAUGGGGCUUUGUCACCCGCUCUGUAGGCCCGGCCGGCGCUUGCCGAUCAACCCAAAUUUUUAUCCAGGUGACCUCGGAUCAGGUAGGAU
rnacentral:rRNA from 1 species